rnacentral:lncRNA from 1 species
GUCUGAUUUUCUUUAUUUUCAAUGACUAGGUCAUUAGUUAGCAGUACAAAAAAUAACAAUUUUCUGUAUACAUGAUACAUGGAUAAUAAUGAUGUAUGGAUUAAAUAUUGCAUAUUUAUUUCAAAAAAUAAAAUAUUUUCAAUUUAUUUCAUGGAAUAUAAUGACAAUAAUGUUGAAAUACUAUGAAAUAGAACAUAUACAAUUCUGUCUUGAUAAAAAUUCCAUAAUCAUCACCUAAUUAUAAUAUGUGACAGUUCAUCAAAUGAAUCAAGAAUAAGUGAAGCUUCAAACUCUUGCUAAUAUACAUGAGGGUCCAGAUGGGGUCCUUUAUUUCUGUAUUUUUCAUUUUUAGACUAUUAUUCUUUAUUGAGGCCCCUCAUGGGGGGGGGGUCCUAGUAAUCACAUAAUCACCAUUUUUUUGCCAAUAUAAUCACAUAAUCAUUAAAUAUUUGCUGAUCUUUAGUAAUCAAAUAAUCAUAAACUAAAAAUACAGUCCUAGGUAAUCAAAUAAUCAUGAAAUAUUUGGCUCAAUAAUCAAAUAAUCAUUAAAAAAACGGCCAAGUAAUCACAUAAUCAAAAACCCCAUGAGGGCCCUCUUUAUUCUACAUUUAAUUUGCCCAUUAUUCCCUAUUCUUUAUAUUCAAGCACCCUAUUAUCUAUCCUCUAGUUUUUAAAUUUUUUUUUUAUCUAUUCUAAAAAAAAUAUUUGCUAUUUAUUCUGCACAUUUUGCUAACAACUGUAUUCUGUAAACCCCAUCAGACCCUCAUUCAGCUUGAAGAAUUUAAAGCAUGUCAUUAUUACAUCAAUCAAUGUUUGUCCAGCAAACUUUGAUAUUGUAGAUGAUUUGUGAUGGGUGACCUAUAUUUGCAUGAAAUUUGUCCUCAGUAAGCACAUUUAUAAUAAGGUGUUAUACUGAAAUUCAUUAUAGGUUAGCAGACAGAAAAUUGAUUGAUGUCAGUUCCUUAUAAAAACAUUUUAAAAUAAAAAAUAUGAAUUUAUCCUGCAUUAAGUAAUUAAUUCAUAUUUUAAUUCAAUAUUUUCUUCUGCACCUCUGUAUAAUGUAUGAAUUGUGAGUAAAAUUACUGCGUAGAAAAAUAUAUUUAUUUCUAUAAAUAUUAAGAGAUAUAUAAAACCAUGUAUUAAAAUUUCUUUAAACUAUCUGCACCAUAGUUUAUGUCAUGAUGCAAAAGAAACUUGUUUAAAAUAUAUAUUUUGAAAAUGUCUUCAGUCUCUAUAAGCAUUUCCCUUUGUGAAUAUAAGCCUUUGUCUGAAUAAAUAAACCUGAAGCAUGAAUGUCUUUUUUUUUAAAUGACUCCUUUUCAUAUCUUAUUGGCUUCAAACCUUUCUAGCCAAUAUAUAUAUUUUUGUUUCUCUCAAAAUUUGGAAAUCUUUUGCUAUAGAUACUGAAAACCAAAAAUGUUUAAUUUAAACUAAAGCUUUAAAUUUAAGAUACAUUAAAGAUAACACAUUUUUGUUGGAGGAUAAGGUGAUAAAUAACAUUUAAUUAUUUGAACAUAAUCUGUGAAUGCAAUAAUUGAAUUCUGACACAAGUGUCAUACAAUAAGCAAUCUAUCUUACUUCAUGUUAAGGUAAGAAUUUUUUUAAAAGAAAAAAUGAAAUUGUGUGCAAAAUGUGAAGUGAGUGAAAUGGUCAAUCUCAGAUGGCACCAGCAAAUUUUUAUACAGCUUCUCCAAAAAAGGGCAAGAUAUUCCCAAUAAGGAGAAUACUCAAUUUUUACCCCCCAAAAAUUUUUAUUUUUGAAUAGUUGCCUAGCAAUAAAUCCCCAUUGAAAAUAUUAAUAAAUUGUAAGGCAUUCUUGUGAAGUUAUCAUUUUAUCAUCAAAUCAAAAUGUGUCGCCUGAUAAUUUAUACAUUUUUUUCAUACAUAUUUAUCAAUCAAAAUAUAAUUUAUAACGCAAUAUAAUAUAAUAUGACAAUUUAAGAAUUAAAACAAAAGAUUACAUUGAUGGAAUAUUCUACAUGAUAUGUGUUUAUGAUAUGUAAAUUAUGUACAAAUGUGUAUAAGUGUAUCAUACAAGUGUAUAAACAUCUAUUUACAAUGCACAACCUUUUGAUGAGGAAUGUAUAAUGGUCAAUCAUUUAUGACCAAUUCUACAAAAUAUAACAUAAAUAUCGUACAGAAAAAAAUCAUGACAAAUAAAUAUUCAACGAUAUAAAACUCUUAAUGUUUGAAGCAUUUCUGAAUGCAGUUAAUCGUGAUUUCAUCUGAAAACGUUCUAUUUAGUAAACAGAUGACAAUCAUACUAAUUAUUAAUCUUUGAAAUAAAAAAGAUUUUAAAAGUGAAAAUGGCUAUAUUGGAAGCAAAUUCUGAUUAAACAAAAAACAGAAUCAAGACCAGCUUUGCUAACUUAGAAAAGCAUUAAACAGGCAGCAUAGAUUUUCAUAAGAGCAUCAUGUUCAUACCAAAUUGAAAUUAUAGAAAUAUUACGAAUUUUGUAUAUCAUAAAAUUGUGAGUUCAUCACAUGUUGCCAAUUUAGAUGAACUAUUACACCAGAUUGCAUUGAGUGUGUAGGUAAAGGUAAAAUCUUUGGUUAGUUGCUAGCUGAACCAUGAAGUCAUUAUUUGGUUAGGUAUACUACCCUCCUUUUGAAGUAGUUUAGUCCUACAGACAGGUCGAUUGGUUUUCUGUCACACUAGUCUACUCUUCAAGUAUGGUAGUUAAUCUAAACUAAGCUAGCAAACAAGCUAACCAAAGUUAUUACCUUUUCCUACACACUCAAUGCAAUCAGCU